rnacentral:rRNA from 1 species
UGANGNNNNUUGGUCAAUGGGCGCGAGCCUGAACCAGCCAAGUAGCGUGCAGGAUGACGGCCCUAUGGGUUGUAAACUGCUUUUGUAUGGGGAUAAAGUCAAUCACGUGUGAUUGUUUGCAGGUACCAUACGAAUAAGGACCGGCUAAUUCCGUGCCAGCAGCCGCGGUAAUACGGAAGGUCCGGGCGUUAUCCGGAUUUAUUGGGUUUAAAGGGAGCGUAGGCCGGAGAUUAAGUGUGUUGUGAAAUGUAGACGCUCAACGUCUGACUUGCAGCGCAUGCUGGUUUCCUUGAGUACGCACAACGUUGGCGGAAUUCGUCGUGUAGCGGUGAAAUGCUUAGAUAUGACGAAGAACUCCGAUUGCGAAGGCAGCUGACGGGAGCGCAACUGACGCUUAAGCUCGAAGGUGCGGGUAUCGAACAGGAUUAGAUACCCUGGUAGUCCGCACAGUAAACGAUGGAUGCCCGCUGUUGGUACCUGGUAUCAGCGGCUAANCGAAAGCAUUAAGCAUCCCACCUGGGGAGUACNCCGGNNNNGUG